rnacentral:lncRNA from 1 species
UUUGCCUCUGUAACUUAAAAGUGGAUAAAAAAAUUUAAAUUUUCUUGUGCAGGUUUCAAUUCCCAUCAAUAAAAUGCACGGUGAUGUACACAUAGUUCAUCCUUUGUAUUGAAGUCCAAGAGUCUAUUGUGAUACGAAUCCUUUGUUUAGAGUUCUUUAGAAAUUUCUUCAACUUCAACCUCUCAUCUAAGAGGAGCUAAUAACAAUCCUGCAUAACUGUCCACCAUGAUGGA